UAGGGAAUCUUCGGCAAUGGACGAAAGUCUGACCGAGCAACGCCGCGUGAGUGAAGAAGGUUUUCGGAUCGUAAAACUCUGUUGUUAGAGAAGAACAAGGACGUUAGUAACUGAACGUCCCCUGACGGUAUCUAACCAGAAAGCCACGGCUAACUACGUGCCAGCAGCCGCGGUAAUACGUAGGUGGCAAGCGUUGUCCGGAUUUAUUGGGCGUAAAGCGAGCGCAGGCGGUUUCUUAAGUCUGAUGUGAAAGCCCCCGGCUCAACCGGGGAGGGUCAUUGGAAACUGGGAGACUUGAGUGCAGAAGAGGAGAGUAGAAUUCCAUGUGUAGCGGUGAAAUGCGUAGAUAUAUGGAGGAACACCAGUGGCGAAGGCGGCUCUCUGGUCUGUAGCUGACGCUGAGGCUCGAAAGCGUGGGGAGCAAACAGG
rnacentral:rRNA from 1 species